GGGCCCGCACAAGCAGCGGAGCAUGUGGUUUAAUUCGAAGCAACGCGAAGAACCUUACCUAGACUUGACAUCUCCUGAAUAGCGUAGAGAUACGUGAAGCCCUUCGGGGCAGGAAGACAGGUGGUGCAUGGUUGUCGUCAGCUCGUGUCGUGAGAUGUUGGGUUGAGUCCCGCAACGAGCGCAACCCUUAUCAUUAGUUGCUACCAUUAAGUUGAGCACUCUAGUGAGACUGCCCGGGUUAACCGGGAGGAAGGCGGGGAUGACGUCAAAUCAUCAUGCCCCUUAUGUCUAGGGCUACACACGUGCUACAAUGGUGAGAACAACGAGAUGCAAUACCGCGAGGUGGAGCCAAACUUGAAAACUCAUCCCAGUUCGGAUUGCAGGCUGAAAUUCGCCUACAUGAAGUUGGAGUUGCUAGUAAUCGCGAAUCAGAAUGUCGCGGUGAAUACGUUCCCGGGCCUUGUACACACCGCCCGUCACACCAUGAGAGCUGGUAACACCCGAAGUCCGUGAGGUAACCUUUAUGGGGCCAGCGGCCGAAGGUGGGAUUAGUGAUUGGGGUGAAGUCGUAACAAGGUAGCCGUAGGAGAACCUGCGGCUGGAUCAC
rnacentral:rRNA from 1 species